AUCUUAUGCACCAUCAUUAUUUUAAUCUUCGGCCCUGUGUAAUUUUAUAAAAUACCACUAAAAUUCUAAAGAGUAUAUUAUUUUAUACUGGUGAAUGUAACUUUUUAAAAUAUAAUAUAAAAAUAUAAAUAUUGCUGCAAGAUGUGGCUGGAGUUGGAUGUUGCUGGAGCUCCGUGACGUCGAAGAGUAUCUGUAAAGAAGUUCACACUCGUCGGGAUGUUCCGAUAGGGG
rnacentral:lncRNA from 1 species